rnacentral:rRNA from 1 species
AACGAACGCUGGCGGCAUGCCUAACACAUGCAAGUCGAACGAGACCUUCGGGUCUAGUGGCGCACGGGUGCGUAACGCGUGGGAAUCUGCCCUUGGGUUCGGAAUAACAGUUGGAAACGACUGCUAAUACCGGAUGAUGACGUAAGUCCAAAGAUUUAUCGCCCAAGGAUGAGCCCGCGUAGGAUUAGCUAGUUGGUGAGGUAAAGGCUCACCAAGGCGACGAUCCUUAGCUGGUCUGAGAGGAUGAUCAGCCACACUGGGACUGAGACCCGGCCCAGACCCCUCCGGGGGGCAGGAGUGGGGAAUAUUGGAAAAGGGGGCAAAGCCUGAUCCACCAAUGCCGGGUGGGGGAAGAAGGCCUUGGGGUUGUAAAGCUCUUUUACCCGGGAUGAUAAUGACGGUACCGGGAGAAUAAGCCCCGGCUAACUCCGU